rnacentral:misc_RNA from 1 species
GUUUUGGCAGCCAAUAACUAGCAUAUGCAAAAAGCAUAGAAAACAAUUAUAGAAAUUGAAAGCAUAAUAUUGUUUGCAAAGGGAUGAGAAGAAGAAGAUAUGAAUAUAUUCAUUGUGCACAGAUUUGACUCCUUACAUUGUUUGGUUAUUAAGGUCAUCAUCUACAGUAAUGAAUCAGUUGACCAUUUUCAUACAGAACUACAUUCAUAGUCGUUGAUGGCAAAGAUAACCAAAAUACAUGUACCUAUCAUCAAAGCUGAAAAAAGCCUAUGCUUUAAACACAGAAGUAUCCAUCCAAAAAAUUCCUGGAAAGAUGAUUUAAACAAUAACAGCCACUUCUGUAACAGUUUCCUCGAAAGAUUAUUUAAACAAG